GUGGCCGUGGUGGAGUGGUACCACGUCUGGUUGUGGCCCAGAAGGUCGAGGGUUCGAAACCCUCCGGUCACCCA
rnacentral:tRNA from 1 species